AUUUAUAGUGCGGCCAGCCGAGCAAUUGCUGCUCAUCAUCGGUAUUUUCCGGAAAACAGGAGAGGUCAGAAGGCCGACUGAUAAGUCGCCCUCGAUUGACUCCUACAAUCCGUCUGGUGCCUCCCCAAACCAAACCCCCCAGAUCACCAGCAACUCACAAUUGGAUUAACCGCAUUUGAUAACUAACGGGUGGAUGGACAGAAAAUACCUCCCAUUGAUGGAAAGCCCACACAAACAUGAUGAGAAGCUAGAAGUCCC